rnacentral:tRNA from 1 species
CCUUGUGGAGGCUGAGACGCGGGUUCGAUUCUCGCACCCGGAC